UAGUGCCCCCCUUGCAAGUAUUUAGCAGACUAUGAGAAAAUAUGUAGUGUAAACUGCAUUAACAAUGACACCUGCUACAAUGUCGAUGGAUAUUGUCCUCGGAGUUGCCGUAAUGGAUUUCGAGGAAAUCGCUGCGAUGAACAAGGCAUUGACGAUUUUACAGGCUCCUGUCAAGACAAAAGAAACAACGUUGCCGGAUUAGUAGCGGUUUUGGUUAUUUCUCUCCUGAUCGAUGUUGGACUUUUCUUUAUAGUGCUUUACUUCAUCAGGUAUAAAAAGAACGAGAAAGGAACUGACCAGCCUUCCUACGAGGUGAUUGACAGAGGCGGUUCUCAUCAAAGUUCAACAUCUGGCGGCCAU